GAAGAGGAAUUCGAUCGAAUGCUGUGUUUAGGCGCCUGCCUUGACAACACUGUUUGGCACCUUAGAUAGAUAGGCUGCACUUAAUCUGUUCUGUUAUAUGGCAUGGAAAAUCUCUGAUCAGUUUGGGAUGAUUCCUUGGUCAAGUUUCCUAUGUAAAUGGAGAUAGAAGAAGGAAUGCAGAAUUGAAGCUUACCAUGUGCAACCCAACACUUCCACAUGACGUGACUUGAAACUCUAUAUUAAUAGAACAGGAGGAAUAUUGUUGGAAGUCUUCUGGUCCUUUAUGACACGGUAUUGGAUUGCAUAUUAUGUUGGAGAUGAAUCUGGGUUCUCAGGAGGAAUAUUGUCGGUGCUUUAUACGUAACACUGCUGAAAAGCUGUUUUUAUUCUCAUGCUAUGAUAAUCUCAUAUGUAAUGUGGUGUUCUUUUAAAUCUUAAAGUACGUUAGUUUCUAAUCCAGCAGAGAAAAUAGACUGGUUAAGGCUGGUUGAGGAAAAGAAUCAGGCUUAAUCAACUUCAUCAUGAAGCUCAGCAACAAUGAAUGGGAUUGAAGAUGAGAGUUUGGUGUAAUUUUGUGGGGGGUUAAAGACGUAAAUCUAUAGAUCUGGAAAUCUGAAAUGUGCCUCUCAACAUGUAACUUGGGAGUUGUCGCAGUUUCGCGGGUGGUACGAAACCUCAUUUUCCAUGAGGUGGUUUGGGUCUCUAAUCAGUUGAGAACAUGAACAGAGACGACAGUCAGGGGAGAGACAGAUGGUGUAUGCGCCUCUUUGAAUUGAAAUUACUACUCCUUUGGCCGAAGUUAGGUAGGGUGUUAUGGCUAUUUUGGGUCUUCUUCAAAAGUUAAUCAUCUAAUCUUACUGCAUAAAUAUGUUAACAACUACGUUUUAGCAACUCUAAUGUACAAUUAAAUUAGUACAACACUCAAGAAAAAUCGGAUGAAAAUCGAAAAGAACUAGACAAUCCAUUCGUGGUAUAUGCAUAUGGUGUAGUUGACACACAUUGCAGUUGUAAAUUGUGUGAUCCAAACUUGGGUACUUUAAUAUUCGAGACUUCUACUUUUAAUCAACAAUACAAGGCCCAAUCAGAAAAA